rnacentral:rRNA from 1 species
UUCGGGGACAAAGUGACAGGUGGUGCAUGGUUGUCGUCAGCUCGUGUCGUGAGAUGUUGGGUUAAGUCCCGCAACGAGCGCAACCCUUAUUGUUAGUUGCCAUCAUUUAGUUGGGCACUCUAGCGAGACUGCCGGUGACAAACCGGAGGAAGGUGGGGAUGACGUCAAAUCAUCAUGCCCCUUAUGACCUGGGCUACACACGUGCUACAAUGGGAAGUACAACGAGUCGCUAGACCGCGAGGUCAUGCAAAUCUCUUAAAGCUUCUCUCAGUUCGGAUUGCAGGCUGCAACUCGCCUGCAUGAAGCCGGAAUCGCUAGUAAUCGCGGAUCAGCACGCCGCGGUGAAUACGUUCCCGGGCCUUGUACACACCGCCCGUCACACCACGAGAGUUUGUAACACCCGAAGUCGGUGAGGUAACCUUUUUGGAGCCAGCCGCCUAAGGUGGGAUAGAUGAUUGGGGUGAAGUCGUAACAAGGUAGCCGUAUCGGAAGGUGCGGC